GCUGGGCGCAGUGGUGCAGGCCUGUAAUCCCAGCACCUGUGGGGGCUGAGGCAGGAGGAUCAUGAGUUCAAAGCCAACCUCAGCAAAAGUGAGGGGCUAAGCAACUCAGUGAGAUCCUGUCUCUA
rnacentral:sRNA from 1 species